rnacentral:rRNA from 1 species
UACGGCGAGUGAAGCGGGAUGAGCUCAAAUUUAAAAUCUGGCGGUCUCAGAUCGUCCGAGUUGUAGUCUAGAGAAGCGUUUUCCGUGCUGGCCUGUGUACAAGUCCGUUGGAACACGGCGUCAUAGAGGGUGAGAAUCCCGUCCUUGACACAGAUCUCCAGUGCUUUGUGAUGCGCUCUCAAAGAGUCGAGUUGUUUGGGAAUGCAGCUCAAAAUGGGUGGUAAAUUCCAUCUAAAGCUAAAUAUUGGCGAGAAACCGAUAGCGAACAAGUACCGUGAGGGAAAGAUGAAAAGCACUUUGGAAAGAGAGUUAAACAGUACGUGAAAUUGUUGAAAGGGAAACGAUUGAAGUCAGUCAUGCUUUCCGAGACUCAGCCGGUUCUGCCGGUGUACUUCUCGGUUUGCAGGCCAGCAUCAGUUUUGGGCGGUGGAAAAGGUUGGCGGGAAUGUGGCAUCUUCGGAUGUGUUAUAGCCCGCUUUCGAAUACAUCGCCCGGGACUGAGGAACGCAGCACGCCUCUUGUAGGUCGGUCUUCGGACACGUCCGUGCUUAGGAUGCUGGCAUAAUGGCUUUAAACGACCCGUCUUGAANNNCGA